UACGUAGGGUGCAAGCGUUGUCCGGAAUUACUGGGCGUAAAGGGUGCGUAGGUGGUUGAUUAAGUCGGAUGUGAAAUCCCUGGGCUUAACCUAGGAAUGGCAUACGAUACUGAUUGACUAGAGUGUGGGAGAGGGAAGUGGAAUUUCCGGUGUAGCGGUGAAAUGCGUAGAUAUCGGGGAGGAACACCUGUGGCGAAAGCGGCUCACUGGACCAUAACUGACGCUGAUGCACGAAAAGCUGGGGGGAGCAAACAGG
rnacentral:rRNA from 1 species